rnacentral:rRNA from 1 species
AUUGAACGCUGGCGGCAGGCCUAACACAUGCAAGUCGAACGAGUGGCGGACGGGUGAGUAAUGUCUGGGAAACUGCCUGAUGGAGGGGGAUAACUACUGGAAACGGUAGCUAAUACCGCAUACCAUCAGAUGUGCCCAGAUGGGAUUAGCUAGUUGGUGGGGUAACGGCUCACCAAGGCGACGAUCCCUAGCUGGUCUGAGAGGAUGACCAGCCACACUGGGAAUGAGACACGGGCCAGACUCCUACGGGAGGCAGCAGUGGGGAAUAUUGCAAAAUGGGCGCAAGCCUGAUGCAGCCAUGCCGCGUGUAUGAAGAAGGCCUUAGGGUUGGAAAGUACUUUCAGCGGGGAGGCGUUACCCGCAGAAGAAGCACCGGCUAACUCCGGGCCAGCAGCCGCGGUAAUUC